rnacentral:rRNA from 1 species
AGGAUCAACGCUGGCGGCGUGCCUAAUGCAUGCAAGUCGAACGGCGCCUUCGGGUGCAGUGGCGAACGGGUGAGGAACACGUGGACGACCGACCCUUGAGUGGGGAAUAACUGCCUGAAAGGGUAGCUAAUACCGCAUACGUUCCCAGAGGUAUCGGCCUUAGGGAAGAAAGCCUUCGGGCGCUGAAGGACGGGUCUGCGGCCGAUUAGCUAGUUGGUGGGGUAACGGCCUACCAAGGCGACGAUCGGUAGCCGGUCUGAGAGGACGGCCGGCCACACGGGGGACUGGGACACGGCCCCGACUCCUACGGGAGGCAGCAGCAAGGAUAUUGGGCAAUGGCCGAAAGGCUGACCCAGCGACGCCGCGUGGGGGAUGACGGCCUUCGGGUUGUAAACCUCUUUCAGCAGGGACGAAGCGCAAGUGACGGUACCUGCAGAAGAAGCACCGGCCAACUACGUGCCAGCAGCCGC